AACGAACGCUGGCGGCGUACCUAACACAUGCAAGUCGUACGAGAAAUUCCGAUUCGUCGGGAGAGUAAAGUGGCGAACGGGUGAGUAACACUAGGGUAAUCUCCCCUUGAAUAAGGGAUAACGUUGCGAAAGCGACGCUAAUACCUUAUAAGACUACGAUCUCUUAGGAGAUAGUAGGAAAAGAUGGCCUCUGUUUCAAGCUAUCGUUUAAGGAUGAGCCCUAGCACUAUUAGCUAGUUGGUGAGGUAAUGGCUCACCAAGGCGACGAUGGUUAGCUGGUCUGAGAGGAUGACCAGCCACACUGGAACUGAGACACGGUCCAGACUCCUACGGGAGGCAGCAGUGAGGAAUAUUGCGCAAUGGGGGCAACCCUGACGCAGUGACGCCGCGUGAGUGAUGAAGGCUUUCGAGUCGUAAAGCUCUGUUAGGUGGAAAGAAACAUUCCGGCGCUAAUACCGCCGGGACUUGACGGUACCACCAGAGGAAGCACCGGCUAACUCCGUGCCAGCAGCCGCGGUAAUAC
rnacentral:rRNA from 1 species